AUCGCUUCUCGGCCUUUUGGCUAAGAUCAUGUGUAGUAUCUGUUCUUUUCAGCUUAAUAUCUGAAACGCGACUCACCGAGUCGCUUGUAUAUUAAACUGAUUUUUGAACUUAGGCCAUGGAAUAGGGGCUUGCUCCGUCCUGGCCACGGGUUGGCCGGUAUUGCAGUACCUCGGGAUCGGCCCCCCCCUC
rnacentral:snRNA from 1 species